rnacentral:rRNA from 1 species
GACGAACGCUGGCGGCGUGCUUAACACAUGCAAGUCGAACGAAGUGGCGAACGGGUGAGUAACGCGUAAUCAACCUGCCCUUCAGCGGGGGACAACAGUUGGAAACGACUGCUAAUACCGCAUACGGAAGGAGGGGAUUGCGUCUGAUGAGCUAGUGGGAGGGGUAACGGCCAACCAAGGCGAUGAUCAGUAGCCGGGCGGAGAGGAUGAACGUCCACAUUGGGACUUAGACACGGCCCAGACGCCUAAGGGAGGCAGCAGUGGGGAAUCUUCCGCAAUGGACGAAAGUCUGACGGAGCAACGACGCGUGAGUGAUGACGGCCUUCGGGUUGUAAAGCUCUGUUAAUCGGGACGCGGUACCGGAAUAGAAAGCCACGGCUAACUACGUGCCAGCAGCCGCGGUAAUAC